AUUGAACGCUGGCGGCAUGCCUUACACAUGCAAGUCGAACGGCAGCACGGGUGCAUGCACCUGGUGGCGAGUGGCGAACGGGUGAGUAAUACAUCGGAACAUGUCCUGUAGUGGGGGAUAGCCCGGCGAAAGCCGGAUUAAUACCGCAUACGAUCCACGGAUGAAAGCGGGGGACCUUCGGGCCUCGCGCUAUAGGGUUGGCCGAUGGCUGAUUAGCUAGUUGGUGGGGUAAAGGCCUACCAAGGCGACGAUCAGUAGCUGGUCUGAGAGGACGACCAGCCACACUGGGACUGAGACACGGCCCAGACUCCUACGGGAGGCAGCAGUGGGGAAUUUUGGACAAUGGGCGAAAGCCUGAUCCAGCAAUGCCGCGUGUGUGAAGAAGGACUUCGGGUUGUAAAGCACUUUUGUCCGGAAAGAAAUCCUUGACUCUAAUACAGUCGGGGGAUGACGGUACCGGAAGAAUAAGCACCGGCUAACUACGUG
rnacentral:rRNA from 1 species